GGUUCCGUAGUGUAGUGGUUACACGCUCGCUUCACAUGUGAGAGGCCCAAGGUUCGAGCCCCUGUAGAAUCG
rnacentral:tRNA from 1 species